AGCUAAAUCGAAAUACGAAGAAGCAGCGAUCGAGGAAAAUAUCAACAGAAAAAAUUACUCUUCUUGGCUUGUAAAUUUUUGCGGUUGACCAGCGUGAUUUCUGAACGUCUGGUACAACAAAACGGAACACGUAUUCAGCGUUGUAUGAAAAAUUGCAAAGCGGUGGAAAGUCAAGGUAACCCAAUUCGGAGGCAAAAAAAUCGAGCACGAUCGUCCGCAGGGCAAGAAAAAGACCCUUAAGGCGUGUCCACGUGCAGGAAUCGCAACGCAUGCUGGCCGGCUGCUGCGAGCUUUAUGAUCGAAAGAGAGAUCGCGCGGAGGAUGGGUUAACAAUGCGCGGGAGCGAGAAGGAGAAUGUCAAGUGGACAUUGUUGACGGUGACAAUGCCGCUGAAAUUGCCGGAGAACAAAGAGGUCUUACGAUGACGCUGCUGGCGGACGAGCGAGCGAGCGAGCGAAUUGAGCGAGUUGCUCGUGGACAGGGACUUCCCGUAUAUUCUCCUGCAUACUGGCCCGCUCUUCGCGCACUCUCUCUCUUUCUUCCUCUGCGUCGAACCAAGCGGCAGAGAAGCGCGUUUCGUCUUCGUCGUUUGGCGAACACAUCGUACGCCACCCCUUGUGUAUCGCAUGGCAUUAUAACUAUCGGCUCUAUCGCGACGCCUGUGUCGAUACUCGUGAAUUAAGCACCUUGAUCCAUUAAGGAUCGGCGUACUCGUGUGUUCGGAGUUAACGGGUCUGUUUGGCAUUGUUUUAACGCCGCGGUGACCGUGUGCAGCGCCGUUAAUACGACGGCUGAUAACGCGUUAACGGCAUUACGUCAUCGUUUACCGAAUACAAGCAAACGGUUCGCAUAUCAAUCAGACGUAAACCGAGUGAUUGUUUCCACCGUUCGAUCACCAACACGUCGAUUCCACGAUUUGUAGCCGUAAUUCCGACCUCGUUAUUUCCAUAGGAAUUAAUUAACAGCGAAAGGAGAUGGAAUUUAACCGACUGGUAUUGUGGUCAUUUAAUCACGUGGACAGACCAAUGUUGAGGAGUUUACAAAAGGUGCAAGGUUCGUUAACGAAACCACAAAGUAUUAUCGCAGAAGUAAAAAUUCCUAUCGUAGGGAGAAAAAUAUUCCGUCGAAUAUGCUUUGCCAAUUAUUCUUAUUAUUAUUAAUUCCCCAAUUAAGCUAUUCAGACUGUCGGCGAAUACUUUCUCCUAAAUUCUUGUGUGUCCCUAGGCGACUGCCUACGCUGGAAUAAUACGUCUCGCGACACACAGUUACGGAUCGAAGUCAACGAAAGGUCGCUCGGGGGACGACCUACGUUCGACGAUUUACCGAUUUCGAUAAGAGUCGAGUCAACCUUCUCUUUCUUCUUUCUUUUCUUUUACAGCCCAGCUACAUGAUCCUAACCGAGAUUUCGAGUCUGUAUCUUCGAUUUUUUCAUCGAGACGCUGCAACCUAUAAACUUCGAUACUUGAUCGAUUUUACGACUCGGCUGUAUCGCGGAUGCUACCGUACGAGCGGAGCUCGAAAGUUCCACGCUGCGCUUGUGUUCUUUGCUCGCGGAGAAAUGUACGGGCACGCGUACAUUUUCAUCUGUCUAUAGGUGGAACCGCGGGCCGAGAGAGAACGAGAGAGAAAGCGUCCGGAAGAGCACGGGAGAGAGUCGUAUAUACGUAUAUAUACAUCUGUAUAUACAUGCAGGUAUACAUCGCCAUCGUUCCGUGCUUUCAUUCGUUCGCGGAAAGAAGUAAAGAGCUUUGUCGCCGCGGCAUCAAAAGCUUGAAUGACGCGUCGAUGAAAGAAGGAAGUAUCGGUACAAGAAACUGCACAGUGAAUACUGAAAAGAAUGUAGUCACGGGAAGAAGGAGGACAAGGGGCAGGGGGGAGCAGGAACGGCAGAAGGAGUUAAAAAGGAAAGGAAAAGAUAGCGAAAACGGGAAAGCAAAAAAGGAGGGUACCGGAGGAGUAUUGCGGGUAGAAAACCUUGCAGGGAAAGACCGAUAAAAGUUUCUGCCUUGAGACGGAUAUUGGAAAUACCUUCUUCCUCCGAUCGACUAUCGCGAUUUAUUAAUUAAUUCAUUCGCCUUUCGCGCCAAAUCGACCAAAUAGGAAAAAAUUCCAGCAACUUGGCGAACGGCCAUCGAAAACGAUAAUAUCGCAGCGUUGUUUCGUUGUUCCCGCUAAACUCUCGUAACAACUCGUGAGAUCACGAUCGCGGUUAGGAUUUGGUAAAACGAAUCGAUGGAUUACAUCAGUGCCAGGCCACGUUCGAGUUCCAAUAGCUAAGUCAAGCAUGCCGGAUUUCGUUAAACUAUUACGAGUAUUCAAAGCGUGAGCCUUGUUGCGUAUACAGGGUGUCCCGUAUAGCUGGCCCGUGGAAUCACGACGAAAUGACGUGAAGCUGGGAGAGCAGAGGAGAGGAGAGAAGACUGAAAAGCCGUACCCGCGGCAGCGUAUGCAGAUAAUCGGUACAAAGCCUUUCGUCGAAUGACAAAGGAGAGCACUGGCCAGCCUCGUGGUUCUCUUGCAUCUAUAUGCCAACGCAUGCAUACACGCUCGCAUUCAGCCGGUAUUAUUAUACUGGAUGGCAGCAUGCUGCUAGGAAAGGCCCAGUUCCUAACGGCUUUAUUCUACUCGUUAAAACGAGAUAAAGCUUCCGCGGUGAUUCUUAUGAUUUUGUCGUGGAUUCAAGGAAACAUCUAUGACAUCGCGAGGAACUUCGCGUAAUACUUUUCUACUUCUACGCUACCGUUAUGGACGUGGUUGAGUAGCUUUAAUUAUUUACCAACGAGUACUGCCACCGACGCAAUUGUCAGAAUCGUCAGAACGGCGAAGACAGGAAAAGAAACCGUCGAGGUUAUUAGAUGUACAAACAGAGGAACGCGUGGAUAAAUUGUAAAGUAGGAAAUAUAUUUUAAUACAGGAGUGUAAGUACAAGUAGGGAUAUAAUUUGAGCUGGUCCAGAUCCGCACGCUAGCAGUGUUACCCUAUAACUGAAAGUCCCGAAGCCAUCGUCGCCUGUCUAGUGUCUAUGGUCUGCCUUCGUCUCGGUCUAUUGUCUAUACGCUGUCGAUGGCUUCAGUGCUCGAGAAAACUAAAAAGACCAGAUGUAGAGUUUCCUUAGAAGUGGUGACCACUUCAACGGAAACAUUAUUCGGAAUAAAUGAACUUCUGAUGGAAAAUGCUUAAUUGCAGCAACAAGCAUCGUUAAUAAGCAUUAUCUUUUAUCCUGCAAUUUGUUAAUCAAAUGGAGGAACAGAUACGAGGUAAAAAAAAAAAUUGUGCGCUUGGCAAGAUACUGCGAAAUGCUUAGAAACGUUGGAAAUGCAGCCAGUGACCGCGGUGCAGCGUACGCUUUCUCGAUCGCGUCGACAACGCGUCAGAAAGCAACAUCUUAUUUCGAUAAAAGUCGCGGAAGUCUAUUAAUCACUGGAGCGCAUUGUGACAUUCAACCGAGCGGCAUUCAGGGUUUCAAUAUUAUCGAUACUCAACAGCGGGGCCAGCAUCCGCGUCUAUUGAAAGAGAGUUUAUCAAUAGAGUGCAGGACACUCUUGCUGUAUCCGCCUCCAAAGCGUUCUAAGCUCAGCGACGUACCUACGAUCUUUCGGAAACGAUGACCGUCGUCAGGAAAAAAAUCUUUUUACGCAGGCUAAACGCGACUGGCGGUUCGACACGGGAACGCUGCAUUCGACGAUUUCCAAUUAAUAUAUCGUAUAAUAGACAGCCUUGAAAGCUUUUAUCUCUCCGGAGCGGUUUCACCAUCCAAGCACGUACGCAAAAGGAGGAUGAAACUAAUCUGGGUUAGUAUGGUUAAGGGGAUUUUCGAGAAAGCCACAAGUGGUCGAGACGGAUACUAUUCUUCCUUAUGUGAAACUUCGAUUAAGCUUAUACGUCGGAAAUAAUUCAUGUUAAUGCCAACAAGCGGCUAACUUUCAGGGAGUGUGAACGUUCAUGGUCAGACACACCUAUUGCCCCUCCUAUGGGAGAUCGAUAACGAAAGACAGGCUUCGGCUACUUUAAGGAGGUUCGAGACGUCAUGGUCAGACGUUGCCUUCAAUACGAAUAGACACGUUAGAAAGAAUACAUUUCGAAUAGUCUCACCUUCGUCUUAAGGAGAAUGAUUACACUACGGUCGGUCGUUGUUUCUCCUGGAAUUGCUCUUACUUUUUAAGAAGAAAGAAUAGGUAGUAUUCAGAUACUCAGAUAAUUCAGACAUUGUAAUGAUGCUUCAACGGAUGCAGAAAAACUCACGUUCGUGCACUCUUACUUUCUGAUCGAUCUUAAUUAUCAGCGGUACUUUCAAGCUCGUCAAAGAUAUCGUAUGCAGCGUGAAAGUCUCCCUGCAUUGGCGUUUGCAACGAAUCCUCCGUUAAUCCGGCCAGUAUAGAAAAAAACACGAAAAGCCCGACGAAUUCGCGGAAUGUACGGUUUCCUGACCAACAGACGAUUCUUUCCACGGUCCAGUUAGACGAUACAGAAUUAAGCUCGAAAAGUACUCGGCGAGUACCGGGACGAUGGAAUACCGGGCCUAUAGAGCUAUAAACAGCGACAAAAGGAUACCGAGUGGGCGACGAGCAUUGAAUGUACGAGAAAGGAUUGUAUGCCAGCGAACGAUGCUGACGAUGGUAGCGACGUUGCUGUUGCUUUUGGCAUACGUGUGUCACGUACGGUAUGUCUGUCUGCGGCCUGCUUUUCGGUGUAUCCGCGCUGCCGGCAGAAAAGAGGAGUAUUUUAGCUCGCGUCCAUAUGAACGUAGGGACGAAACAAUGUAGCUUUUGUGCGAGAAAGGAACGGAAAAGCAAAGCCAAAGAGAGAGCCUAAGAGCGAUUGAAAUGCUCGGCCGUCUGUCUCUUGUUCUCCACCGCCUCCCUUCGUCGUCCCACCCUCUUUAUCUAUUCUCUUUUCCUUCCUCUGCGUCUUUGCCGCUUCUGUCUUUUUACCACUCAGCCAUCUACGUCGUGCUUCUUCCUUCGCUUCGUCUUUGCUUUGAUCGCAACACUGCCAAACUGCGAGUGAUCGCAAACGCGUACACCUUCUCGGACAACGAUCAUCCAUUCCGAGUCUCUUCGUUCUUUAUACACGAUUCGCCUAACUCGUAAACCUUGACCUUUUUGCAGUUAGCUGUAAGAUGACAGUCGUGUGUACCAUAUAAAUUUUUUUUCUUUUUUUUUUAAUGUAGCACACGAUAAGAUGAAAUAAAAUGACAUUUCUCGUGUACAAGGUCGCGAAACAACUAUCGAAUUGAGAACGAUUCGUUACUACCCCCAAAGCCGAAGACGACAAAGAGAUUCUUUUUUUGGUCGAACCUCGAAGAGAAGCAAAGAUGUCAGAAUGAGAAAGUAACGACGCGCGGAGCGAAGACGCGGUUGGCAAUAGAAGGGUGGUAUGUGCAAGAAGGGCAAGUAUUGGUAGACACAGAUGUGAGGGGUGGUUGCAGGUUGAUAGUCAAGACUGCCUUCAGAUUCCAGAGUGAAGCAUUGUGUCCCGAACGCGCAUUGUCCUCCCGUCACCGGCAACUCGACAAUGCCGAGUCCGUAAGUUAGUAACCCUACCGUAAAAACUUAUCUCCACCCCAAACCAUCGACCUCCAGCCUCCAUGAUUCCGUUCGAUUUCCAACCACCUCCCGCCAACUCUUCCGCUUUUCUGUCCUGGCUCGUGACUUCUGCUGCUUUUACUCUUCCUCCUCCCUUCGAUUGCAAGAAUCAACGAUCUGUGUCUACGAUGUUCUUGUGUUCUCCCAGCAACAAGACAAAGGUCUUCGUCGGAGCUUCGAAUUCCGCUUCUCAAAUAAAUAUAGUCGUAAAACACAUUGACGGCUAAUGCCAACAAAUUAAUAACUAAAAUCCUCGUUCGAACCGAAAAAACGACUAACAGUAAAACAGGGAGCCGAAGAAGUCGAUCGUCAGCAAGCAGAGAAACACUCUGGGAUCGGAAGCGAACGUCCUGGGGACCGGAUACAAACAUUAGGGGUUGGCGGGUGGUCCUCUCGUUGGGACUCAAGUUGCCGAGCAGCCGGACAACGCGUGGUCGCCGGACAAAGCUCUUCUAAUUGUCCCCAUCAACGACGAAGAAUGGACCGCGGGCCUGCCGCUGACAAUUUCAUUUGUAAUUUGCAUAAGGCUUAUUAAAAUCACAAUGGACGUGGACCCAGAGGGAUGCUCGAUCGAGGUGGCCGCAGCCUUCUUUUUUGGACUGCUCGAUAGAGAAUAAUCACGGUCACCGCUGUGCUGGUAAUUGAACUUCAAUAAGGAGCGGAACUCGUUUCGACCAUUCGCGUCAACUACUCCUAAUAAAAAAGAUAAUCGACGAGAAAUUUAAAUCGUUGUGAACUUACGUUUG